rnacentral:lncRNA from 10 species
UGUGCCCAGCUGCCACCAGCUGGAAACAUUUUUGGAAUGAAGAAUGACCUGUCCAAGGACUAGGGACCAGGUGGGCCAGUUAAACCCACUGUGCCUGUGGAGUCUUGGGUUAUCCUGUGAUGUUGGCCAAGACAGCUUCUUGUCUUUAUGCCAUGUGACGAAUGGGCCUGGUAGACAAUCACUGGGACAACCACGUGCAACAAGACAGCCAUUCAGUGCAGCAAGGAAGUUGCAUGCUAUUAUAAGUAGGUACUCUUCAGUCUUACACUUUGCUGAGAUUGUUGCUUGCUUGCAAUUUUAUAAUAUUUUUAUUGAAGAUUAAAGUAAGCCACAUUCUUCAAUGCCCCAAGGAGAAAGGAAAAGAUUUCAUUAGCUGCCACCGCUGUCUAUCCUAAAAGAAUGUUGCCCUGUCACCUAGGAGGGAAGCAAUGGCUGACCUCCAGCCACCUCUUCUAAGAUGGGGCUAGGGAAGGUAGAAGUGGGGGACUCCUGCUCUACUCAGACUUCUGAGGAAGUUCCAGGAGAAAAUAUUCACAAAGAAGGCACUGAGAAGGCAGUAAAUGUUUAAUAGCCACUCUUAUCUGAUUACUGCUCCAUGUUAUCCUGAGUAUAAAAGGAGGCUUCCUUUAAAACAAAAAUCUUCUGAUUGACUUAUGCCUUUUUCUGUUUUGAACCUUUACUUGCUGAAGAAUAAGAUGGGUAGGAGAAGGAGGGAGAGAAGGAGGAGCAGAAGGAUGAGGAGGAUUGGGGAGAAGAGGAAGAAGAAAAAGAAGAGGAAGAAGAAGAGGACAGAGGAGGAGGAGGAGGAAGGGGAGAAGAAGAAGGAGGAGGAGAAGAAGAAGAAGAAGAGGAAGAGGGAGGAGGAGGAAGAGGAGGAGAAGAGGAAGAAGAAGAAGAGGAGGAGGAGGAAGAGAAGGAAGUAGAAGAAGGGGGAGGAGGAGGAAGAGGAGGAGAAGGGGAAGAAGAAGAAGAAGAGGAGGAGGAGGAAGAGAAGGAAGAAGGAAGGGGAGAAGGAGGAGGAGAAAAUAUUAUUCAAUUGAGUAGUAUAAUUCAAUUCAAUUCAAGCAAUUAGCCAAAAAUUCCACUGAAAUAUUGACUGAAUUCAAUUUAUCCACAUUCAAAGUAUCCUUUUAUAAGCCAUUUGAUUGCUGCCAUGUUACAAGUCUUCACAGAGCUUUAAG